AGAGUUUGAUCAUGGCUCAGAUUGAACGCUGGCGGCAGGCCUAACACAUGCAAGUCGAACGGUAACAGAAAGCAGCUUGCUGCUUUGCUGACGAGUGGCGGACGGGUGAGUAAUGUCUGGGAAACUGCCUGAUGGAGGGGGAUAACUACUGGAAACGGUAGCUAAUACCGCAUAACGUCGCAAGACCAAAGAGGGGGACCUUCGGGCCUCUUGCCAUCGGAUGUGCCCAGAUGGGAUUAGCUAGUAGGUGGGGUAAAGGCUCACCUAGGCGACGAUCCCUAGCUGGUCUGAGAGGAUGACCAGCCACACUGGAACUGAGACACGGUCCAGACCCCUACGGGAGGCAGCAGUGGGGAAUAUUGCACAAUGGGCGCAAGCCUGAUGCAGCCAUGCCGCGUGUAUGAAGAAGGCCUUCGGGUUGUAAAGUACUUUCAGCGGGGAGGAAGGGAGUAAAGUUAAUACCUUUGCUCAUUGACGUUACCCGCAGAAGAAGCACCGGCUAACUCCGUGCCAGCAGCCGCGGUAAUACGGAGGGUGCAAGCGUUAAUCGGAAUUACUGGGCGUAAAGCGCACGCAGGCGGUUUGUUAAGUCAGAUGUGAAAUCCCCGGGCUCAACCUGGAACUGCAUCUGAUACUGGCAAGCUUGAGUCUCGUAGAGGGGGGUAGAAUUCCAGGUGUAGCGGUGAAAUGCGUAGAGAUCUGGAGGAGUACCGUGGCGAAGGCGGCCCCUGGACGAAGACUGACGCUCAGGUGCGAAAGCGUGGGGAGCAAACGGGAUUAGAUACCCUGUAGUCACGCGU
rnacentral:rRNA from 1 species